rnacentral:rRNA from 1 species
UCGGGAAUUUUGGGCAAUGGGCGAAAGCCUGACCCAGCAACGCCGCGUGAAGGAUGAAGUAUUUCGGUAUGUAAACUUCGAAAGAAUAGGAAGAAUAAAUGACGGUACUAUUUAUAAGGUCCGGCUAACUACGUGCCAGCAGCCGCGGUAAUACGUAGGGACCAAGCGUUGUUCGGAUUUACUGGGCGUACAGGGCGCGUAGGCGGCUCUGUAAGUCACUUGUGAAAUCUCUGAGCUUAACUCAGAACGGCCAAGUGAUACUGCAGAGCUAGAGUGUAGAAGGGGCAAUCGGAAUUCUUGGUGUAGCGGUGAAAUGCGUAGAUAUCAAGAGGAACACCUGAGGUGAAGACGGGUUGCUGGGCUGACACUGACGCUGAGGCGCGAAAGCCAGGGGAGCAAACGGGAUUAGAUACCCACGUAGUCCCUGAGCGGGCUGGCAAGGCGCAU